rnacentral:rRNA from 2 species
UUCCGGUUGAUCCUGCCAGAGGCUACUGCUAUCGGGGUCCGACUAAGCCAUGCGAGUUGAGAGGGGUAAGCCCUCGGCAUAUUGCUCAGUAACACGCGGAUAACCUGCCCUUGGGUUUGGGAUAACCCCGGGAAACUGGGACUAAUACCGGAUAGAUCAAAGAAACUGGAAUGUUCUCUGAUCGAAAGCUCCGGCGCCCAAGGAUGGGUCUGCGGCCUAUCAGGUAGUAGUGGGUGUAACGUACCUACUAGCCUACGACGGGUAAGGGUUGUGAGAGCAAGAGCCCUGAGAUGGAUUCUGAGACAUGAAUCCAGGCCCUACGGGGUGCAGCAGGCGCGAAAACUUUACACUGCGGGAAACCGCGAUAAGGGGACCCCGAGUGCCAGCACCUAGUGCUGGCUGUCCAGCUGUUCAAAUAACAGUUGUUAGCAAGGGCCGGGCAAGACCGGUGCCAGCCGCCGCGGUAACACCGGCGGCCCGAGUGGUAGCCGUUAUUAUUGGGUUUAAAGGGUCCGUAGCCGGCCUAUUAAGUCUCUUGGGAAAUCUGGCGACUCAAUCGUCAGGCGUUCAAGAGAUACUGGUAGGCUUGGGACCGGGAGAGGUGGGAGGUACUCCAGGGGUAGGGGUGAAAUCUCGUAAUCCUUGGGGGACCACCGAUGGCGAAGGCAUCCCACCAGAACGGGUCCGACGGUGAGGGACGAAAGCUGGGGGCACGAACCGGAUUAGAUACCCGGGUAGUCCCAGCCGUAAACGAUGCUCGCUAGGUGUCAGGUGCGGUGCGACCGCAUCUGGUGCCGCAGUGAAAACUUGAAGCGAGUCACCUGGGAAGUACGGUCGCAAGGCUGAAACUUAAAGGAAUUGGCGGGGGAGCACUACAACGGGUGGAGCCUGCGGUUCAAUUGGAGUCAACGCCGG